rnacentral:rRNA from 1 species
CACGUAGGGGGCGAGCGUUGUCCGGAUUUAUUGGGCGUAAAGAGCUCGUAGGCGGCUCGGUAAGUCAGGUGUGAAAACUCUAGGCUCAACCUAGAGACGCCACCUGAUACUGCCGUGGCUAGAGUCCGGUAGGGGAGCAUGGAAUUCCUGGUGUAGCGGUGAAAUGCGCAGAUAUCAGGAGGAACACCGGUGGCGAAGGCAGGUCUCUGGGCCGAUACUGACGCUGAGGAGCGAAAGCGUGGGGAGCGAACAGG